rnacentral:rRNA from 1 species
AAGUAAUAUGAAGACGGCAGCUUUGUAUGAAAUAUGGGGAUACCAUUCUCCAAGGCUAAGUAUAGUAUAUCUAGCGAUAGUGAAGAGUAACGUGAGUGAAAGGUGAAAAGUAAGUGUAUGACUGGUGAAAUAGAUCUUGAAUUACAAGCCUUACAAGCAGUUAGAGUUCUAUAGAAUAGAAUGAUAACGUACCUUUUGCAUAAUGGGUCAGCAAGUUAAUUAUAAAUGCAAGAUGAUAAAUCUUAGCGAAAGCGAUUAGAAAAUGAGAAAAGUAUUUAUAAUUAGAUCCGAAACCAGAUGAUCUUUUCAUGGCUAGGUUAUAAUGGACCGAACAGCAAAAUGUUGCAGUAUUUUCUGAUGAGCUGUGAAAAGGGGUGAAAUGCUAAUCUAAUCUGGUGAUAGCUGAUAUUCUGCGAAAUCUAUUUAAGUAGAAAGUUUCUGUAAAAUAUUCUUUGUAUAGCACUUAUUUCCAUUUCUUAAUAAAUUGGAUUCCAAUUUAUUAUUUAUAGAAUAAAUUAGGGGAUUUCAUAAUCCUACUAUUGGAAGUUAACCUCAGAAGAAGAAUAUAUUGAUCAGAGACUGACAGUCUAUUUGUGAUAAGGUAAAUAGACAAAAGGGAAACAGCCCAGAUCAUAAAUUAAGGUCCCUAAUAAAUAUUUAGUGAACAUAAGAAGGUCUUUUAUCUAAUACAACUACAAAGUAAGCUUGGAAGUAGCUACCUUUUAAUGAAAGUGUAACAACUCAAUAGUCUAAUGGAUAAAAGGCAUCGAAGAUUUACGGGUCUGAAAUAUUUAACCUACAUUAUGAUAUAUAUACAUGUAUGUAUAUAAACAUAGAUGUAUAUGUAGGUAGCAGAACACUUAGUAUGAGAGUGAAGAAAUGUAUGAAUACAUUUUGGACUAUACUAAAGAGAGAAUGCUGGCAUGAGUAACGAUUAAGAAGUUAAAAUACUUCUCGCCGAACACGAAAGGGUUUUAUGGAAAAGGUAAUCUGCCAUAAUUUAUACGGUUUCUAAGGAAAAUAAACGAAUUGUUAUUUUCUGAUGAAGAAUAGAAAUCAUAGAGAAAGAAUCUUUCUUCUAGAAAAAGAUUUCUACUAUGAAUAGUAACCGUACCUGAAACCGACACAGGUUCGUGGGUAGAGUAUACUAAGGCGUAGAGAUAAGGCUAGUGAAGGAACUCGGCAAAAUGCUUCUGUAAGUUCGACGAUAAAGAAGAAGUUAUAAUUUAGAAUCAUCUUAUGAUUCUUUUAUAACUUGUCACAAAAGUGAGGGCUUCGACUGUUUACUAAAAACAUAGCAACUUGCUAAGACGAAAAGUACUUGUAUAAGUUGUGAACUCUGUCCAAUGCCAUUUGUUUAAGGAAGGGAAUCUUCUUACGGGAAGUGUUCCUGACUGAUGCGGUGGUGAAUGACGGUCUUAACUAUAAGGAUCUGAAAGUAGCGAAAUUCCUUGGCCAUUAAAUGUGGUCCUGCAUGAAUGAGGUAACGCGGCCCUGCUGUCUCCACUAGCUUCUCAGUGAAAUUGAAUUAGCCGUGCAGAUGCGGUUUGCCUUCCGGAGGACGCGAAGACCCUAUGCAGCUUUACUGUAUUCUGAUAUUGUUAUUCGUGAUAUAUAGUGUAGAAUACAAGGGAGUGUAACAUCCAUGAAAUACCUUGAUAUAUUGAAUUGAAUAACUGAUUUCUGCUAAGAAAGACAGUAUCAGAUGGUCAGUUUUACUGGGGCGGUAGCCUCUAAGAAAGUAUCAGAGGCCUUCAAAGGUAUACUUACAUUGGUCAGAAACCAAUAGAUAAUUGUAUCUAUCAAAAUGUAAUGAUAAAAGUAUGCUUUACUGAAAGAUUGAUAGAUCGAUCAGUUACGCAAGUAGGAUAUAGUGAUCCGAUGAUUCAGAAUGGAAUGAUCAUCGCUCAAGAAAUAAAAGUUACGCUAGGGAUAACAGGUUUAUCGUUUGCGAGAGUUCACAUUGUCCAAACGGUUUGACACCUCGAUGUCGACUCUUCUCAUCCUCCAGGUGUAGUAGCUUGGAAGGGUUCAGCUGUUCGCUGAGUAAAGAGGAACGUGAGUUGGGUUUAAUACGACGUGAGUCAGUAUAGAUUCUAUCCUCGGAAGGGAACAAGAAUAGAAGAAGAACCUCUAAUUUGUACGAAAGGACCGUUAGAGAGAAUUCCAUGGUGUAUCUAUUGUUGUAGAAAUAUGGCACAGUAGAGUAGCUACAAUUCUAAAAGAUAAAUACUGAAAGCAUAUCAAGUGUGAAACAGAUCUUCUGAUAUUCUCAAAUAAGAAAAAGACUAUUUCUAGUCUAGGAUGUAAAUGUAUGUUGAACAUUUCUAAUGUAUUGAUCAAACUUAAUUGUACCAUAUUGUUUUACCCUAUUUUU